UGACUCGGCCCAAUCUAAGACUGUGAAGCGCGCUAUUGCUUUGCUCUGCUUGGAAUCCGCUUUAAAGAAGUCUUGUGAGCACGUUUUGUUGGAGAGUUUCGCGGCCCAGGUGGACAGGUUGGGUGCUGCUGGAUUCCCCACAAGGCUGUUGGCGAGUGUAGCCGAAGGCCUUCUCCAAAAGGUUAAAGGAAAGGUGCGGAAACCUAGGGGGGAAGUCGCGAGGGGUUCCACUAGAUGUAUGGUUGUUCCGUACGUGCACAGAGUAUCGCACAAUUUGAAAAGAGUGGCUAAUAGGUACGGUGUACCUAUGGUAUUUUCGGCACCUUGCAAGCUCUCGGGCCUUUGUUCGAAAGUUGAUCGUAGUAAGCCUAAAGUCUCUUGUGGCAAGAGUCAUCAGCACCAGUACGUUAGCUGUGCGGUGGGGGUAGUUUAUGAGAUCCCCCUCACAUGCGAUAGGGUGUACAUUGGCCAGACUGGCCGGUGUGUUAACGACAGGGCCCGAGAGCAUGAAAGGUCUUUGUCUAGUGCGGACACGCGUCAUUUGCCUAUGCAUGUUACCAAAUGCAAGUGUACUCCGCUAUUUAGUCAGAUUGUUGUGCUAUCUAGGAGCAGAGAUAAGGGUGCGCGGGAGUUAUCUGAAGCGUUUUUCAUCGGGGAUAGAGGCGGUAGGUGUGUGAGCCAAACUUCUGUGUCUUUGUUAUCGGGGGAGAGGAGGAUGUUGUCGAGACGGUAGUGAUUGUGUCUGUCUGAGCGUCUGCGCUCUUGGACCAAGGUGGGGUGACUGGGUUGGCGGCUGUGCGCCUGCGUACUGGUUUUUGUAUUAUUAAACUGUUCGUUGGAGUCAGCGCCUGUCCUGUCCUCUCUUCUUCCGUUGUGUCUUCUCGCGCUGUGUUUUGCAUCUUCAUGUAUAGUUACCAACGUGCCCAACAGCGAGUCCUCUUGGAGUGCAUUUAGAGGUGUCGUUAAAAGGUACGUGCUAUUGGCAUCUGUUCACGAUCAGGGAGUAGAGGACUUGCGACAAUAUUUAAUGAGUCACUUUCACGAUAUGGUCGCUAUAUUGAGGGCGCAACGAAUACCCUUUAGUUUUUGCAUUUGUUCUGACGUUUUAACGAUAAAGGAAAUUCGUGGGGAGAUGAUCGCGCACAUCGCCCACUUUAUGGCGUUUGCUCGCGAAGUCCACAGUGACGGAGCCAUCGCGAAUACCUAAUAAUGGACGUGAUUCAGAAGCCCACAGGGCGCGUAGAAAAUAAAUUAUCAGCGGGAACAGAGCGGGUUGCUGUCCUACGACGUCCAAAACGUUGAAAUAUGUAUUUCCGCAGUGAAAACGAAAAAAUUCGGAUGCAAUGGGGCGCUUCCCGAUCAUUUGGCUAAACGCAGGAACGUACUAACAAAUAUUCAUUUACCGGCACGUAAGGAGGGUGAGUGUUUUAAAUACAACACGCUCGCCCUCCUGCAUGCACAGAGUUGGAAUACAUGGUCAAAAAAAUAUAAAAAUUACGCCGCGGAGUACUGGUAGCCUAGUCGCUUCCCCGCUUCCUACUCUGACCUGGACGAAUUCGAAGACAAAAACAUGAUAUCCGUGUACGUAUACGAGUACGUCGAUCAGGGAGUGCAUGUGUCGUGACCCCCAAAACUCGAGUAUGAAAAGAAAAUUCACUUAUUGGCUAUAGACCAGCAUUUUUUUGGAAUCAAGUCCCUCGAGCGGUUACUAAUUAGGAAAGACAAGCGUUUCGUAUGCGAGUGUUGCACGCGCUCUUUCCUGAAGGAAGAGAGCAUGGCGAAACAUCGUCGCCUGUGCGCAGACGUAAACGAAAUCAUAUUGGAAUUUUGCGAACCGGGCAAAAACUUUGUAGAAUUUACUAAAAUACAGUACAAGCAGCAGUAUAACUAUGUCGUCGCGUUGGACACGGAGAGCGUACUCGCACCCAGUGGUGUUGGCAUGAAGCGCCACGUCAUCUCUAGCUUCUGUGCCGUGCUCGUGCGCACUCACGACUCGAAGGUGAUGCGCAUCAGGACGCACCAUGGUGAAGAUUCCGCGAGGCAGUGCGUGAAAGCUUUGAUGGAAAUGCGGGACGAGAUGAUCGCCCUGAACGCCUGCCGCGCGGAAAUGGUGCUGAAUGAUGAGCAACGAGCACGACACACAGCCGCCACCCACUACGCGUGCUGUGAGCGGGAGUUCGCGUAACAUUUGCCACGUGUCCGGCACCACGACCAUUCCAGCGUUGUACUGCCAGCGAGACAAAUUACAUCGCGACGCUGUGCAACCCCUGUAACGUGGCGUGCACGACGCCGGAAAAACUGCUCAUCAUGGUGCACAAUCUGGCCUAUGAUUUGGAUGGACUACUGCAGGAAUUUCACCUUCUCGGGUGGAAGCGAGCUCCCUUCAUCGUGGCCAGUUCAAUGGAAAAAAUCCGAUCGUUCGAAAUCGGCACCAUCCUAUUCAGAGAUACCAUGCAGUACCUAAAUUUGUCGCUGGGAGAGCUCGUGGAAACCUUCAAAUCCAUGGGGGGCGCAGAGGCGUUCCAAUGCCUGAAGCAGGUAUUUGUCGACGACUACGAAAUUUUGCUUCGUAAAGGUGUAUUCCCGUACAGCCACGUUAGCUCGUUUGCGGUAUACGACGAAUUUGCUCUGCCAGCAAAAUCCGCCUUCCGAAACGAUCUGACGGGGGAGGAUAUAAGCGACGAAGACUAUCAGUACGCGCUGCACGUAUUUGAACAUUUUGGAUGCUCGAAUCUGAGGGAUUAUAACGCAUUGUACCUGAAAACGGAUGCCCUGUUACAUGCUGAUGUAAUGCAGCACUUGGCGCCUGUGCUACGACGCGCGCGAAUUGGAAUUGCUUCAUUGCGUUUCUCUGGCAUCCUAUUCGUGGCAAUGCUCUCUAAAUUACACGCAAGCAAAAUUGGAACUGAUCAUCGACGAGGACAUGUACCGAACCAUUGAAUCGGGUGUUAGAGGCGGGCUCUGCCAGGCGAUAAGGCGUCAUUUACGGGCUAACAACCCGCUGUGCAGUGGCUACGAUCCCGAUAAAGAACAGGUGUACAUAUCGUACAUAGAUUACAACAAUCUUUACGGAUUCAGUAUGAUAAAGCACCUCCCCGUCGGCGAUUUCGAAUGGGUCGAGGAUUUUAGCUCCGUGGAUUUUAUGCGUCACCCCGCAGAUUCGGAGGUGGGAUACGUGUACGUGUGUGAUUUGGAGUAUCCAAAAUCUAUCCACGCGCUGACGCAGUACUUCCCCCUGGCUCCCGAGAAGGCGGUCGUCCAGAAGGAAUGGCUCUCACCAUUCCAGCGCGGGCUCCUCGAAGAGUUAAUGUAUCAGCCAGCGAACAGCAAAAAGCUGCUGCUCACGUGCAAGGACAAGGUCGAGUACCUUGUUCAUUACGAGCUGCUCGCGCUCUAUUGUAGACUGGGCAUGAGGGUGACAAAAAUUCACAGAAUUCUAAAAUUUUGUGAGGCACCAUUCCUGCGUCCCUAGAUCGAGGAAAAUGUUGCAAGACGCGUUGCCUCGAGCACAAUGUUCGAGAAAAAUUUCUAUAAAAUCUCAAAUAAUGCGGUCUUCGGGCGUACGCUGCUAAAUAAAUUUAAUAUGCGGGACAUUCGAGUAGCCUUCGAUGAGGAGACGGCGAGUCGCCUCGGGAGUCGGGCGGAAUGCGUGCGAAUGGAAAUUUCGUUCCCCGAUUGCGUCAUGUACGAAAUGCGCAAAAGAAAAGUGCGAUGUGAUUUCCCCCUGCAGAUUGGCUUCACGAUUUUAAAACUGAGUAAGUUAACCAUGUACUCGUUCUACUAUGAAACCCUGCUGUGUAAGCUCACUUGUCCAGUGAUUACCUGCUACUUUGACAUGGACUCUCUGAUCCUCGGCCUAUUCUGUAAGGACUACAAAGAACAGUUACGAGCGAUCGCCGACGAACAUUUAGACUUGUUUUCCUUCGAUCGGGAUCAUCCGCUGUACAGUGAGAGGAAUCGCGGUAGGCUUGGCGCGUUCAAAAGUGAAACGGGUAGCAUACCCAUCGAGGAAGUAAUAUGCUUGAAAUCCAAAAUGUAAUCCAUCAAAUUAGCCGGAGGAAAACAGAUAGCAAGAGCUAAAGGGGUCAAAAAGAAUGUUGUGCGGAAACACCUCAUCCAUGAUACGUACCACGAUACUCUAUUCAAGCACACCAGCGUAUCGCACAAACAGGUGUCAAUAGUUGGAAAGAAACAGUGCAUGUACACCAUCAGAAAUCUGAAAAGAAGUCUGAUGGCGUACGGCGACAAACGAUACCUCUACAAUGACGUUGACUCCUACCUGUACGGAAGCUGCGAAUAUGAUAAUGCAGUGGAUGAGAAGGAGUAGCGUCAUUUGGACUGCGUCACUGGAAGGAUGUGGUACCUCGUUCUCUUCUCGCUAGUCUCGUGUGCGCUGGCGCUGGACGCCGGAAACUGUACGGCUAUCAUCAAGCUGGAGAAUGAUAAGCACACGUAUGCGCACGAAUGCCCUGGCGACAUCUUGGCCAUCAGAGAGUGGCACGUGGUACCUAUGCGGUCCGGCAUUAACCUGGACAGGAACGCUACUGGAUCGCUGCGUACGUGCCUUCACUUGCUGGACGUGAGCGACAGCUACGAAGAUAUCCAGUGCACGUGGAAGUGUCAACUCACGGAGGACGGAAUUUUUCUCAGCCGCUGUCCCCGAGACGUGUACAUGAUCCGUCACUUCCGCGGAGCCACGCCCAGCAUCAAAGGAAUCAAUCUCUCCAAGACCGCCAUGCUUUUUCUCAAACAUGUACUCAAUAAACGUUGAAAUGUAUUUUU